rnacentral:tRNA from 1 species
GGGGAGUAAGAUACUGGCGGUAUCCCGCGGGCUGCAAACCCGUUGGCCGGCUCUAAGCAAGCCGGGGUGGAGUUCGAUUCCCACUACUCCCC